rnacentral:rRNA from 1 species
UGGGGAAUAUUGCACAAUGGGCGAAAGCCUGAUGCAGCAACGCCGCGUGAGCGAUGAAGGCCUUCGGGUCGUAAAGCUCUGUCCUCAAGGAAGAUAAUGACGGUACUUGAGGAGGAAGCCCCGGCUAACUACGUGCCAGCAGCCGCGGUAAUACGAAGGGUGCAAGCGUUACUCGGAAUUACUGGGCGUAAAGCGUGCGUAGGUGGUGGUUUAAGUCUGUUGUGAAAGCCCUGGGCUCAACCUGGGAAUUGCAGUGGAUACUGGAUCACUAGAGUGUGGUAGAGGGUGGCGGAAUUCCCGGUGUAGCAGUGAAAUGCGUAGAGAUCGGGAGGAACACCCGUGGCGAAGGCGGCCACCUGGGGCCAACACUGACACUGAGGCACGAAAGCGUGGGGAGCAAAACAGGAUUAGAUACCC